rnacentral:rRNA from 1 species
GGGGGGAAAUUAAUUAAUUAUAAAUAAUAAAAAAAUUUUUAAUAUUGGGGGGUAUUAAAGUAUUUUUUUAAAAAAAAUAAUUAAUUUUAUAGGGGAAUAGUAUUGUAAAAGAAAUUUGAAAUAGUUGAAAAUGAAUUAAUAUAUAAGUAAUUUUAAUUUAAUGUAUCUUGUGUAUCAGAGUUUAUUAAAAAAUAUUUAUUAAAAAAAAAAAUCUCGAAUUUAAAAGAGUUAAUUAAUUAUAAAAAUUAAUGUAGAAUAAUUAUUUUAAAUAAUUAAUUUGAAAUGAAAUGUUAAUCGUUUUUAAAUAUAUCUAGUUAUUUUAGAAAAAAAUUUAAUUUAAAAUUUAAAAAAUUUUAUAAUUAAUUAAUUAAUUAUUAAAUAUUUAAAAUUUAAUAUAUUAAGGGAUAAGCUUUAGUAUAAAAAUUUAUAAUUAAUUUUAAUAAAAAUAAAAAUUUUAAAAUUUAUAUUGUUUAAAAAUUAUAAUUUAUUAUAAAAAAAUUUUAUUAAAAAUAAAAUUUAAUUAAAAUUUAAUUUUAUAUAAAAUAAAUAAUUUUUAAUAAGAAAAAAUUAGAAAUAAUGAUAAAAUUAGUAUAUUAAAAAUAAAAAAUAUUUAAUUAAAUAAAAUUAAAUUAAAGGAAUUCGGCAAAAUUUUAUAUUCGCUUGUUUAUCAAAAACAUGUCUUUUAGAAAAUAAUUUAAAGUCUAAUCUGCCCACUGAUAAUUAUUAAAGGGCUGCAGUAUUUUGACUGUACAAAGGUAGCAUAAUCAAUAGUCUUUUAAUUGAAGACUUGUAUGAAAGAUUUGACGAGAUAUAAACUGUCUCUAUUUUAUUCAUAAAAAUUAAUUUUUUAGUCAAAAAGCUAAAAUAAAUUUAAAAGACGAGAAGACCCUAUAGAGUUUUAUAUUAAAAUUAUUUAAAAUUAUAUUUAUAAUUUAAAAUUAAAAAUAAAAUUAAUAUUGUAUUGGGGUGAUAAAAAAAUUAAAUUAACUUUUUAUAUGAAUAAAUCAUAAAUAAGUGAGUUAUGUGAUCCAUAAAUAAUGAUUAAAAGAAAAAAUUACCUUAGGGAUAACAGCGUAAUAUUUUUUUUUAGUACAAAUAAAAAAAAAAGUUUGCGACCUCGAUGUUGGAUUAAGAUAAAAUUUAAACGCAAAAGUUUAAAAUUUUGAUCUGUUCGAUCAUUAAAAUCUUACAUGAUCUGAGUUCAAACCGGUGUGAGCCAGGUUGGUUUCUAUCUUUAAAUAAAUGAAAUAUUUUAGUACGAAAGGAUCAAAUAUUUUUAAUAAUUAAAAUAAAAUGAAUAUUAAUAAAUAUUACUAUAGUAUAAUUAU